rnacentral:rRNA from 1 species
UCUGGUUGAUCCUGCCUGAACUGAUGUGUUCAUUUCAAAGAUUAAGCCAUGCAUGUAUAAGUUUAAUCGUUUUAACGAGAAACCGCGAACGGCUCAUUACAAUGGCCAUGAUUUACUUGAUCUUGAUUAUCUAAAUGGAUAACUGUGGAAAAGCUAGAGCUAAUACAUGCACCAAAGCUUUGUCCUCUCGGAAAAGCGCAUUUAUUAGAACAAAACCACGCGGCUUCGGCUGCUUCUUGUUGACUCAGAAUAACUAAGCUGACCGCAUGGCCUUGUGCCGGCGGCGUGUCUUUCAAGCGUCCACUUUAUCAACUUGACGGGAGCAUAAUCGACUCCCGUGGUGGUGACGGAUAACGGAGGAUCAGGGUUCGACUCCGGAGAAGGGGCCUGAGAAAUGGCCACUACGUCUAAGGAUGGCAGCAGGCGCGCAAAUUACCCACUCUCGGCUCGAGGAGGUAGUGACGAGAAAUAACGAGAUCGUUCUCUUUGAGGCCGGUCAUCGGAAUGAGUACAAUUUAAACCCUUUAACGAGUAUCAAGCAGAGGGCAAGUCUGGUGCCAGCAGCCGCGGUAAUUCCAGCUCUGCUAAUACAUAGAAUUAUUGCUGCGGUUAAAAAGCUCGUAGUUGGAUUCGUAUCGGUACCCUGGAACCCUCCGGGUGUUUCUGGGUGUUAUCGAUUUAUCGUAAUGUUCGGUUUUGAGUCCUUAACAGGAUUCUUAACAGGCAUUGCAAGUUUACUUUGAACAAAUCAGAGUGCUUCAAACAGGCGUUUUCGCUUGAAUGAUCGUGCAUGGAAUAAUAGAAAACGAUUUCGGUUCAGUUUUAUUGGUUUUACGGACUGAGAUAAUGGUUAACAGAGACAAACGGGGGCAUUUGUAUGGCCCCGUGAGAGGUGAAAUUCUUGGACCGUGGCCAGACAAACUACAGCGAAAGCAUUUGCCAAGAAUGUCUUCAUUAAUCAAGAACGAAAGUCAGAGGUUCGAAGGCGAUCAGAUACCGCCCUAGUUCUGACCGUAAACGAUGCCAACUAGCGAUCCGCCGAUGGAAAUUAUAUUGCCUUGGUGGGGAGCUUCCCGGAAACGAAAGUCUUCCGGUUCCGGGGGAAGUAUGGUUGCAAAGCUGAAACUUAAAGGAAUUGACGGAAGGUCAAUUGACGGAAGGUCAAAUCGAUAGGCCAAUGGCGCGAAGCUACCGUCUGAGGGAUUAUGACUGAACGCCUCUAAGUCAGAAUCCCGCCCAGUCAUGAUAGCAAUAUAUAUCGCUCUCCGGUGUCGGAAGGCAAAAUGUAUGCCACUUUUUGUGGUAGUACAAGCCCCAGUAUCUGGCAUUUUCCUUCUACUAUAAUAGUUGGUUGCUAAAAGCUUAGCACUCCUCGUGCAGGUGUAACGUCGGGGCGCAAAAUCACUUGUAUACGACUUGAAUACUGGUCAGGGGGUUGUAUCCAGUAGAGCAGCUCUUCGCUGCGAUCUGUUGAGACUUAGCCCUUGAUCGGAUGAUUUG